CUGAAAUUGCUGCUGCAUGAAAUUCUCUGGGCUAGGUCAGAAGUGGCAGCUGGGGAGUGUGCCCAUGUGUGUAAAAUGUCUCAGCUUAAAGAAACAGGAAAUUCAGGACCAACUCGAACUCUGCGGCCCACGCCUUGUUUCCUAGAAAGGAAGGGGUCCAUAACACGGGAGGCUGGGGCCCCGGGGUGAGGACAGGGAUGACACAGGAGGCUGGGGUCCCCCAGUGGGGCCAGGGAUGAUAUGGGGGGCUGGGGCCCUGCAGCGAGGACGGGGAUGACACGGGAGGCUGGGGUGUCCCACUGGGGUUGGGGAUGAGACAGGAGGCUGGAUCCCUAGUGGGGUUGGGGAUGACACAGGAGGCUGGGAUCCCCCAGUGUGGUUGGGGAUGACAUGGGAGGCUGGGACCCCCCAAGUGGGGUCGGGGCUUUGGCCCAGAGAGGAAUGGGCUUCUGGCCUCUGUCCUUGCCUGGGUCCAGGGCAGUCUCCUGACCCACUGGGUCUCUUUUCCUCUCUGCUCUAAUAGAAUGCCGCCAAGAGCUCGUGCCUGCUGGCCUGGGAGGGUCUGGUUAGAGGAGGAUGAAGCUCUGCUUGGAGAAGCUCUGGAUGCUGGGUGCUGCCUGGUCUGGACUUUGUCCUGAGCAAUCUUGGGGAAAUGGUCCGAGUGAAGUGCAGGGCAACUCCUGGAGGGAAGACAGGUGACAGCGAGAUAAGAAGGGGCAGCGGUAGCCUCGGGGUCUGGAUCUGGGAGGUUCCUGGGACUGGGCAGUGGGGCAGCCAUUUUCUUCAUAGUCAAGUAAACCGAAGCCUUGAGAAGCCGAGUGCAUGGCCCACGGUCCCAGGCUCUUUGCUGCUUGACACCUGCACCAGAAUAUAGGUCCCUGCACGUGGCCACCUUUCCAGUAGGUGGUUCGAGAUGUCCCCACUCUGAAUUCCAGGGCUGGGCACUUGGCCAGCUCCCACAUCCUCCUCUCCCUUAGGGAGAAGUGCAGCGGUCUUGGGGC
rnacentral:lncRNA from 1 species